rnacentral:rRNA from 1 species
GAUGAACGCUGGCGGCGUGCUUAACACAUGCAAGUCGAACGAUGAAGCCCAGCUUGCUGGGUGGAUUAGUGGCGAACGGGUGAGUAACACGUGAGUAACCUGCCCUUAACUCUGGGAUAAGCCUGGGAAACUGGGUCUAAUACCGGAUAGGAGCGUCCACCGCAUGGUGGGUGUUGGAAAGAUUUAUCGGUUUUGGAUGGACUCGCGGCCUAUCAGCUUGUUGGUGAGGUAAUGGCUCACCAAGGCGACGACGGGUAGCCGGCCUGAGAGGGUGACCGGCCACCCUGGGACGGAGACACGGCCCAGACUCCUACGGGAGGCAGCAGUGGGGAAUAUUGCACAAUGGGCGCAAGCCUGAUGCAGCGACGCCGCGUGAGGGAUGACGGCCUUCGGGUUGUAAACCUCUUUCAGUAGGGAAGAAGCGAAAGUGACGGUACCUGCAGAAGAAGCACCGGCUAACUACGUG